CGGGUUUCACCGUAAUACCUCACCUAUGGGUAGGCAUAUGUAUUUAUUUUUUUAAUUUCGUAGUUAAGAAUCAAUUCCGACAGUCGUUAUAUUAUAUAAUGGUUGUAAACAAGAGCCGACGAAUAAUUGCGUUUAUAACUUUUUAAUUCUAAAUUUAAAAAGUUUAUCAUUAAUAAUUAGUUUAAUAUUAUUUGAUAGCGUAUUGAAUAAUCCGAUUUCUCCAUUUAUGUACACAUUUUCCAUUGAUGUAGUUUCGGGUUUUAACGCAUUUACGAUUUCUAUUACAUAUAUAUAUAUAUAUAUAAAUAUAUUAAGUGUAGAUUAGCGUACAAUUGUUAUUUUAAUUAAUUUUUUUUUUUCAGAUUUGGCAUGGUCAGUAGUAAGUCCAAACUGCAGUCCCAGACGAGGUUAGUGAACAAUUGUUUUCAACAGCUAGUGAUUAUUCGUCACUAAUUCUCCAUGGUAUUACUAAAAUACAAUCUAUAUUCCAUUUCAAUAUUGACCAAUAUCUAUGAAAUAGGAAUCCUAGCUGUUAAGAAUGAGCAUCAUUUUUUUGUAUUAUUUUUAACUAUAAUUAAUUUGUUAGCUAAAUAAUAGACUAUUUCAAUUAAUUUACCAC